rnacentral:rRNA from 1 species
AUUGAACGCUGGCGGCAUGCUUUACACAUGCAAGUCGAGCGGCAGCGCGGGGGCAACCCUGGCGGCGAGCGGCGUACGGGUGAGUAAUACAUCGGAACAUGUCCUGUCGUGGGGGAUAGCUCGGCGAAAGCCGGAUUAAUACCGCAUACGAUCUACGGAUGAAAGUGGGGGAUCGCAAGACCUCACGCGAUUGGAGUGGCCGAUGUCGGAUUAGCUAGUUGGGAGGUAAGGCUUACCAAGGCAACGAUCCGUAGCUGGUCUGAGAGGAUGAUCAGCCACACUGGAACUGAGACACGGUCCAGACUCCUACGGGAGGCAGCAGUGGGAAUUUUGGACAAUGGGGGCAACCCUGAUCCAGCCAUGCCGCGUGAGUGAAGAAGGCCUCGGUUGUAAG